AGACCAUGCCAUUCAUCCGGCAUUCAGAAGACAGAGCCCUGAAGAUCUCUGAGUUCAAGCUAUGGUAUGACUAGCUGCCUCAUGUUCCAGACAGGACUCCUUCCCAGACACUUAGAACUGCAUUCUCAAACUGAGAGCCAAAGCAAACAUCUCUCUCUUGAAGAGGUCAGUCGGAUGAUCCUGGGCCAGAAGGCUGAAGAGUGAUGCUUCAAUGUUUUGAAGGACACUGCCUUGACCAAUGUUUGAGUUUGAGAAGCUAUGUUUGGGGCUUCCUACAUACUCAGGAAAUAUUUAGUUCUUUCUCAGAGUUCUGAUGAGAUCUCUGACUCUUGAUUGAAAACUUGGAUGAAGACAUUCCUAUGCACUGAAAGAAGCAGCUUCUCUGAGGUUAUCUGAGUAAGACACUGCUCUGUGCAUAUAGCAGUAUGGCAUUGUGGGUCAUUUUGUUGCCCCUUUCCUCAGGAGAAUGAUAAUAUUUAGAUCCCCUACUUCCCCUGCCCAUAACUGAUCUCAUCUCAGCUUCUUGACCAGUUUGGUGUCCAUCUUAUGAAGUAAGUCAUAAAUCCAAUUAAAUAAUUUACAUGUUACUCUCAUAGCACUUGUGCCAAUAUUGUACCAACUUCUCUCACGGCAGGCCCUUAUUAUAGGCUGUAGGAGUUGUAGCUGGGAUAGAUUUAUGGUGAC
ensembl:lincRNA